UCAUCUUUAAAAUAUACUAGGGUAAAAUACACGAAAGCUCUGACAUUACCUGGAAUUAUAGGAACAAAGGAGCGAGUAAGUUUAGGAAGAUCAAUCCAUGAAAUAAUGCUUCUCAAAAUUCCGCCAAUCAGGCUGAGGGAAACUUGAAGUCCUUCUCUUAGCUAGUGAAUGGGGCUCAUCUCAGGGUGGACUCUCCACCAUGAACAGGGAAUUGGCCAUACACUUGGCAGAACAACCCAAUGUGAUCGUCAGCUUCCUCGUUCCGACUUACAACGGGAGUGACAAGGUGAUGGCAAGUUAUCAUAACAUUGCUGUCUUUGAAGCAGAUCAGCGCCCUGGCUAUGAGCCAAAUGAUUGUCUAAGCUUCCCACCAAGCAAUCUCAAUGUCGACAUUGUCAUUGGUCAUCGUGUGAAGCUUGGCAAACAAGCUCAGAUAAUAAAGGGAACCCAUCGCUGUAAGUGGGUCCAGGUUGUGCAUACAGUCCCUGAAGAGCUUGCGAUGUACAAACUUUACCCAGGAGCUAUCUCUAAAGGUGAAGAAAAGCACAUGACUGAAGUCCAGCUGUGUGAAAUGGCUGACCUUGUUGUACCAGUUGGUCCCAAGUUAUCUGAAGCCUACUCCGCGUACCUCAGCUCUUGCAGACAAAACGAUUCUUACUUUAUCGCCCGGAAUCUUCACUGAAUGGUCUAAUUUGAAGCGAUCCACUAGAAGUAGUACUAAAUUUCGUCUGCUCGUAUUUGGACGCGGUGACUCAGAAGACUUCGAGAUGAAGGGAUUCCACGUAGCUGCUCAAGCUGUGGCAGUACUUAACGACAGGAGCAACCACCUGAUCUUCGUUGGCGCUGCGAGUGGAAGACAAGAGCGAGUAGCACAGAAUCUACUGAAGCAAGGUUAGGAGCGCAGUCAUCUUUUCAAACGUGAUAACACAUGCGAGCUAGAGUCAGUCGAGAAAUUACUGGAGAAACGGUGGCAUCCAUGUUGAGGGUGUUCAAAAGCGCUAUUUCAGAUUUCCUAAAAUGUCUGAAACGGCCGAUCAAAUUCCCACCCUAGAAAUGGGUAUGGCAUUUUUCAUGGUUCAUGCACAUGAAUGUGUACUCUCGAUUAACGAAGACGACGCUGGCAUUGGUUACGCCAAGAUAUACAGAGUUUUACAACAGGCAACGGGUAAGGAGAGAAAACAGUUUCAGUUCUUUUUUUGUCUCCAACACACACUUUUGCUUAAUAAUGGCGUAGUUCUGAAGACCAAUGGCCACCUAAUCAAGUGUACUUCGAAACUGUUGUUUAUUUUCUCCAAUAAAGGCCCAUUAGAAUCGGAAUCGAAAGCGAAAGUAUCAAGGUCGACGGUUGCUCUGAAAAGUGGUAAACGGCUGCGACCAGUUGUUCAGUCAUGCGUGGUCGAGGAUCUGUUUAAAGCAAUCUUCACCGAAGGUUUACAGGGCUUUGCUGGAGGUCUGAGACUUGUUCCUUGCCGCUUCCUAUGUUAAUUGUAAACCCUUUUUAUUUUCUGCCGAACAACUGAAAGGAAAAAUCUUAGACUGGACAGAAGCAAAACAUCGGCGAAUGCUUACGAUACGAUGGAUUCGAACUUUUUCCAAGAAUCUUGGGACAAUUUCAAUUCUAUCAAUUUCAUUUCGUUAAUCGGGGACUGGGGCACAUAUUACGUAAUUAUGUAACCCGUGACAACGGAAGCACGUGCUUAUUAUUAAGUGCCUGCCCACCCUUUCAAGUUGUUAAUUCGAAUCUAUUGGGUAAGAGAGUUAGAUUGACCGUAAUUGUGCGAAGACCUUGUGAAUCUUGCGAUUAUUAAACACGUUAACAUCAA